rnacentral:tRNA from 1 species
AAGGAUUUAAGUUAACCAAACUAACAACCUUCAAAGUUGUAAAUAGAACUUAUGUCUAAGCCUUA